UGGAGAAGGAGUGGUUAAUCCAGGCUUUAGAUAACCUGAAGAAAGAGAAGCUCACUUUGGAUGAGAAUGUUACAGAUUGACACACCUUGAUUUGAAAAUAUCUUCACCAGGAACAUCCUUCAAGUAUACACACCUUGGAUGUUUGGCAUGUUGCCAAAGGACUGGGUAAGAACAUUGACAAGCUUGGGAAGAAGAAGGGUAUGACAAAAGUGAACCUUUGGAAAAAGUCCACUGUAAACCAUCUGUAUUGGUGUGCCAGUUCAACCAGUGACAGCAGUUCAGAGAUGACAGUUUCCAAGUGGAAUUCUAUUGAUGAGAGCAGUACAGAGAAGCUCUUGGGCAUUAUUAAGAGUG